rnacentral:rRNA from 1 species
CCUACGGGCGGCAGCAGUGAGGAAUAUUGGUCCAUGGGCGCGAGCCUGAACCAGCCAAGUAGCGUGAAGGAUGACUGCCCUACGGGUUGUAAACUUAUUGUAUAAAGGAAUAAAGUGAGGCACGUGUGCCUUUUUGUAUGUUCUUUAUGAAUAAGGAUCGGCUAACACUGUGCCAGCAGCCGCGGUAAUACGGAGGAUCCGGGCGUUAUCAGGAUUUAUUGGGUUUAAAGGGAGCGUAGAGGGGUUGUUAAGUCAGUUGUGAAAGUUUGCGGCGCAACCGUAAAAUUGCAAUUGAGACUGGCAGCCUUGAGUAUAGUUGAGGUAGGCGGAAUUCGUGGUGUAGCGGUGAAAUGCUUAGAUAUCACGAAGAACUCCGAUUGCGAAGGCAGCUUACUAAACUGCCACUGACAUUGAUGCUCGAAAGUGUGGGUAUCAAACAGGAUUAGAUACCCUAGUAGUC